rnacentral:rRNA from 1 species
AAUCAACGCUGGCGGCGUGCCUAACACAUGCAAGUCGAACGCGAAAGGGACUUCGGUCCUGAGUAGAGUGGCGAACGGGUGAGUAACGCGUGGGUGAUCUACCCUAGAGUGGGGGAUAACGUUCCGAAAGGGACGCUAAUACCGCAUGAUGUUCCGGGUUUGAAGACCUGGAAACCAAAGCCGGGGACCGCAAGGCCUGGCGCUCAAGGAGGAGCCCGCGUCUGAUUAGCUAGUUGGCGGGGUAAUGGCCCACCAAGGCGACGAUCAGUAGCCGGCCUGAGAGGGCGGACGGCCACGCUGGGACUGAGACACGGCCCAGACUCCUACGGGAGGCAGCAGUGGGGAAUAUUGCACAAUGGGCGAAAGCCUGAUGCAGCGACGCCGCGUGAGGGAUGAAGGCCUUCGGUUGGUAAACCUCUUUCAGUAGGAGAAGACGGCAAGUGACGGUACCGUACCAGAAGAAGACACCGGC